UGAAAUUUUCAGUUUUGGGAUGGGGUCUUCUAGCCGUAACCGUAAUUCAGAUACUGAUGUGGAUAAUAUAUGGUAUAUUCACGAAUAGAGGAUAUCCAGUUGAAGGGAUUAUUGGAAAAUCUUUCUCAACGGAGAACUGGUCUCCGAAUGGUCAGGAAGAGAAUGAGCAGUGGAGGAAAUUCAAAGAAGAUAAAAUUGCAAAGAGAGGACUCGAACGAGGUAGCUGGUUAUCUCAAAAAGUCAGAGAUCUAACUGGAUCGUAAUACAGAUAUAAGACGUUUCUAAAAUAAUCUGUGAUAAAAGAUUUUGUAUUGUAAGGAAUAAUAUCUAUCAUUUUAUCAAUUAACAUUUUCUUUCUCAUGUCAAACACAAGAAUGUGCCGUCAUAUAAUAUAUUGUUAAAAGUAAUAUAGUGGAGUAUAAUAUUGUUUCAUUUGA